rnacentral:rRNA from 1 species
UACGGAGGGUGCGAGCGUUGUCCGGAAUCACUGGGCGUAAAGGGCGCGUAGGCGGCCUGAUAAGUAGGGGGUGAAAUCCUGCGGCUUAACCGCAGGGCUGCCUUCUAAACUGUCAGGCUUGAGCACAGUAGAGGCAGGUGGAAUUCCCGGUGUAGCGGUGAAAUGCGUAGAGAUCCGGAAGAACACCGGUGGCGAAGGCGGCCUGCUGGGCAGUUGCUGACACUGAGGCGCGAAAGCGUGGGGAGCGAUCCGG